GUGCUCCAUUUGGCAGUAUAUAUACUAGAACUGAAAUAAUAGAGAAGAACAGCAUUCCUUCUACACAAGGAUGACAGACAUACUUGUAAAAUUUCCCACUCUACC